GUCUUCAUGGUGUAACGGUAGCACACUCGGCGCAUAUUCAAUAGGCCCAGGUUCGAGUCCCGGCGAAGGCA
rnacentral:tRNA from 1 species